AUUGAACGCUGGCGGCAUGCCUUACACAUGCAAGUCGAACGGUAACAGGUCUUCGGAUGCUGACGAGUGGCGAACGGGUGAGUAAUACAUCGGAACGUGCCCGAUCGUGGGGGAUAACGGAGCGAAAGCUUUGCUAAUACCGCAUACGAUCUACGGAUGAAAGCAGGGGACCGCAAGGCCUUGCGCGGACGGAGCGGCCGAUGGCAGAUUAGGUAGUUGGUGGGAUAAAAGCUUACCAAGCCGACGAUCUGUAGCUGGUCUGAGAGGACGACCAGCCACACUGGGACUGAGACACGGCCCAGACUCCUACGGGAGGCAGCGGUGGGGAAUUUUGGACAAUGGGCGCAAGCCUGAUCCAGCCAUGCCGCGUGCAGGAUGAAGGCCUUCGGGUUGUAAACUGCUUUUGUACGGAACGAAACGGCUCUUUCUAAUAAAGAGGGCUAAUGACGGUACCGUAAGAAUAAGCACCGGCUAACUACGUGCCAGCAGCCGCCGUAAGAC
rnacentral:rRNA from 1 species